rnacentral:rRNA from 1 species
AUUGUACGCUGGCGGCAUGCCUUACACAUGCAAGUCGAACGGUAACAGGUCUUCGGAUGCUGACGAGUGGCGAACGGGUGAGUAAUACAUCGGAACGUGCCCGAUCGUGGGGGAUAACGAAGCGAAAGCUUUGCUAAUACCGCAUACGAUCUACGGAUGAAAGCAGGGGACCGCAAGGCCUUGCGCGAACGGAUCGGCCGAGGGCAGAUUAGGUAGUUGGUGGGGUAAAAGCUUACCAAGCCGACGAACUGUAGCUGGUCUGAGAGGACGACCAGCCACACUGGGACUGAGACACGGCCCAGACUCCUACGGGAGGCAGCAGUGGGGAAUUUUGGACAAUGGGCGAAAGCCUGAUCCAGCCAUGCCGCGUGCAGGAUGAAGGCCUUCGGGUUGUAAACUGCUUUUGUACGGAACGAAAAGACUCUGGUUAAUACCUGGGGUCCAUGACGGUACCGUAAGAAUAAGCACCGGCUACUACGUGCCAGCCGCCGCCGUAAGAC